rnacentral:rRNA from 1 species
CGAUACGAGUUUGAUCCUGGCUCAGGAUGAACGCUAGCGGCAGGCCUAACACAUGCAAGUCGAGGGGUAGAAUUAGCUUGCUAAUUUGAGACCGGCGCACGGGUGCGUAACGCGUAUGCAAUCUACCUUGUACAGGGGGAUAGCCCAGAGAAAUUUGGAUUAAUACUCCAUGGUAUAAUUGAAUCGCAUGGUUUGAUUAUUAAAGUUCCAACGGUACAAGAUGAGCAUGCGUCCCAUUAGCUAGUUGGUGUGGUAACGGCAUACCAAGGCGACGAUGGGUAGGGGUCCUGAGAGGGAGAUCCCCCACACUGGUACUGAGACACGGACCAGACUCCUACGGGAGGCAGCAGUGAGGAAUAUUGGUCAAUGGUCGGAAGACUGAACCAGCCAUGCCGCGUGCAGGAAGACGGUCCUAUGGAUUGUAAACUGCUUUUGUACGGGAAGAAACACUCCUUCGUGAAGGAGCUUGACGGUACCGUAAGAAUAAGGAUCGGCUAACUCCGUG